UUUUUGUCUCUUUCUAUCUAUCUGAUUAGUGUAAUAAUUGUUAUUGUUUAUUAAUUUGAAACAUACAAAUUAAGAAAUAGGAUUCAUUGAAAAAGUAUUUUAUGCGUCACCUAAUAAUAGGCGAGGUCCGUACAACCGCAAGUGGGUCUCGAAUUCCGUGGCGGGCGAUGACGGUGGUUGCGCGGUGCGGCGCGGCAUACACCGUCGCAACGGUACUCAGAGCGCAUUCCCACAGUAACGCAUUCCGCAGUCGUACUCUCCAUCCACAGUCGACCUCGAUCCCCACUACACACGAAUCCCCCGUACGUCGAUACUCGCGCGCGCCUACCAAUAUAUUUAUCCACGAUUUUUUAUUGCACAAGCACAAGCGACAUGCAGCAUGCAACAUACACAGACAUUUAAUGCGUUCCAAACAAACAUGGUGAAUUGCCAACAUACCUGCAACUAGUUAACCUUAAAUUUAUUGCUGUUGAUGAAAUGAUGAAUGCGGCCUGUAAGACGGUCGAAGUGGUAAACAAGUUGGUCACGCCGGCGACGCGUGAACAAACAAGUGCGGAGUCCCACCGACCGUGCGCCACGAACGCGUUCGCGCAAUCGUCAUCACCGCCGCGCGAUGUUUGUUUGUAAUUUUAACGCGCGCGUCGUAUGCGUACUUUGAACCCGGCGCCGCGGUCGCGCGCCGGGGACGUCGCCACCGGGGUGGCCGGACGCGACGCGGCCCGGCGGCCCGCGGUGCAACAAUAAUUUCAGCAGUAUUUCCGAACCGAUACGACAUCAUAACCUUCAAGAAAAAAGCAUAUUCCUUUUUAAAAGGCCGGCAGUACACCUGUAAUUCCGUUGGUGUUGUGAGUGAUCAUGUGCGGCGGUAGUCACUUACCAUCAGAGUCAAGAGGACCAAAAGCUAUAGUAUCCAGGCGCUCCAGCCCCCAGAGUAAUACUCCAUGAGCGGUCGGAUUUGCUUGUACAAUCUUUGUCAUUGUUUGUAAUAAUAUAAAAUUGCUGAACA